rnacentral:rRNA from 1 species
GGGAAACUUACCAGCGCCAGACAACGGUGUGAUUGACAAGUUGAAGAUUUUUCUUGAUUCGUUGGGUGGUGGUGCAUGGCCGUUCUUAGUUGGUGGAGUGAUUUGUCUGGUUAAUUCCGUUAACGAACGAGACCUCGACCUGCUAAAUAGUUCGGCAAAUUCUUCGGGAUUUGUACGUGACUUCUUAGAGGGACUAUCGGUGGUUAGCCGAUGGAAGUUCGAGGCAAUAA